rnacentral:rRNA from 1 species
CCUACGGGAGGCAGCAGUAGGGAAUCUUCCACAAUGGACGAAAGUCUGAUGGAGCAACGCCGCGUGAGUGAUGAAGGCCUUCGGGUCGUAAAGCUCUGUUGUUAGGGAAGAACAAGUGCGAGAGUAACUGCUCGCACCUUGACGGUACCUAACCAGAAAGCCACGGCUAACUACGUGCCAGCAGCCGCGGUAAUACGUAGGUGGCAAGCGUUGUCCGGAAUUAUUGGGCGUAAAGCGCGCGCAGGUGGUUUCUUAAGUCUGAUGUGAAAGCCCACGGCUCAACCGUGGAGGGUCAUUGGAAACUGGGGAACUUGAGUGCAGAAGAGGAAAGUGGAAUUCCACGUGUAGCGGUGAAAUGCGUAGAGAUGUGGAGGAACACCAGUGGCGAAGGCGACUUUCUGGUCUGUAACUGACACUGAGGCGCGAAAGCGUGGGGAG